CUAAAUCAAACGUAUUUAAAUUAGGUUCUAACAAGAAGAAUAUUGUAAUUUAAUUAGUAGUUAGCUGUAUUUUGUUGACGUUGUAUCUAGCUUCUACUAUGCACAUUAGAGUAGUAUAAAUACUCAUGUAUUAGUCAUUCAGCUUUCAAUGAAAAACAUGAGAGCAUUUUCUCACUUUCUUGUUUCUGGUAUCUAUAAGUUUAUAUAGCAUCAGAGCGGGUUUGAGAGAAAAAUAACCGUUCCUAGUAAGAAAAUUGAGAGAAAGAAAUUGUUCUGGCCAUUGAAGAAAUGGAAAAGAGUAGCAAAGCUAGGGUUUGCAGCACUAUGAAUCCAUCUAAAGAGAUUGUGAAAAAUCAAGAAGCACCAAAUGAUUUUCUGGCUUUGCAAGGGUCUGAUAAUCCCGGUAUGAUCCUCGCUUCUGCUCAGUUGACUGGAAAAAUUACAGAGCAUGGAGUAGGGCGAUGAAAUUUGCUCUAGGAGCGAAGAAUAAAUUGGCCUUUGUUGAUGAAAAAGUGGAAGCGCCGGAAGAGGGAUCUAAGGAUUUCGAAAAGUGGAAGAGAUGUGAUUACAUGGUCACAUCUUGGUUGCUGAAUUCAAUCUCGAAGGAUUUGGUUAAAGGCUUCAUUUACACAAUUUCAGCUCUUGCGCUAUGGGAGGAAUUGGCUGAGAGGUGUGGGGAGAGCAAUGACCCUAUGAUUUAUCAGAUCAAACGGAAAAUUGUUUCAAUAUCAUAAGAGAAUCUUUCUAUAGCUAGUUAUUACACAAAGUUGAAGCAGUUUUGGGAUGAAUUGGCUAACAUUGAAGUAAUUCCUUCUUGUACAUGUGGAUCUAUGAAAACAGCAACAGAUAUCUAUGAUAAAGAUAAGCUUAUGCAAUUCUUUAUGGCAUUAAGUGAUGUGUAUGAUCAGGUAUGGCGCCAAAUUCUUCAAACUGAUCCUUUGCCAAGUGUAAACAAGGCAUAUUCCAUGGUGUUAAGGGUUGAGACUCAAAGGGAAGUACAGUUAAAUAUCACUGAGCAUAUUGAUGCAGUAGUAUACAAGGCUUGUGCAAAGAUUUUAAGAAAUACGACCUUAAGAAAGGGCAUUGUGACUAUUGUAACAUGGAUGGUCUCACUGUGACCGGUUGUUUUAAAUUGACUAGAUUUCCAGAUUGGUUCAAGAAUAGGAAUAGGAAUACCAAUCAGAAUAGCUUUCAAGCCAGAUAUGCUGCUUAAGUGGAUUGUAGAAAUGUAGCUACUAAAGAAUUUAUCUCAGAUUCACCUCUAGAUAAAAGUGCCUCUAUUGAUCUCUUUAAGUAUGAGGAACUGAAUAAGUAAGCUAGAGUUAUUGCAGAUGGAAAAAGAGCAAGUUGGUUAAAGGCAAAGGAAUUGCAGCUAUAAACACGGACCUGAAGACUAAGGCAGCUGUGGCAGUUGGUAAAGAGGGCUGCAAAUAUUGCUUGUUGUGCUAUUGGUGUUCUUGCAGAGUACGUCAUGUUUUGCUACUUGGCUACCUGUGAUACAUAAGAUUGAAAACCGGCUUGGUUGUUGGAAAGGCAAGAUCAUGGCAGGCUAGCUUUAAUCAAAUCAAUGGUGUCCAAUUUGCCAAUCUAUUACCUCUUUAAGCAAGUAGGGAAGAAGAAUGAGAAUUAAUUAGAAACUUCUUUUGGUCCAGCCGUUGUAAUGUCAAGAAAUCACAGCUAAUCAACUGGCAAUCACUGAUGCAGCCCAAAAACAGAGAACUCCGAAUUGUAAACAUCACUUUGCAUAAUCAGGCGCUUCUUUUCAAAUGGCUAUGGAGGCUCCAAGAUCAGCAUAAUGCGAGGUGGUCAUUAGUGCUUAAAAACCAAGUAAAAUUUUAGGUCUUAUUGUGAAUAUAUUAAAAAAAAAAAAGUUGUAUUCUAUGGUUACUUAAAUUUAAAAUAUAGUAAAAUUACUUUAUUACAAAAAA